rnacentral:rRNA from 1 species
CAGCCGCCGCGGUAAUACGUAGGUGGCAAGCGUUGUCCGGAAUUAUUGGGCGUAAAGCGCGCGCAGGCGGAUAGGUUAGUCUGUCUUAAAAGUUCGGGGCUUAACCCCGCGAUGGGAUGGAAACUGCCAAUCUAGAGUAUCGGAGAGGAAAGUGGAAUUCCUAGUGUAGCGGUGAAAUGCGUAGAUAUUAGGAAGAACACCAGUGGCGAAGGCGACUUUCUGGACGAAAACUGACGCUGAGGCGCGAAAGCCAGGGGAGCGAACGGGAUUAGAUACCCCCGUAGUCCCUGUCUCUUAUACA